UUUAAAGAGAGUUUGAUCCUGGCUCAGGACGAACGCUGGCGGCGUGCCUAAUACAUGCAAGUCGAACGAACGGAGGAAGAGCUUGCUCUUCCAAAGUUAGUGGCGGACGGGUGAGUAACACGUGGGCAACCUGCCUGUAAGUUGGGGAUAACUCCGGGAAACCGGGGCUAAUACCGAAUGAUAAAGUGUGGCGCAUGCCACGCUUUUGAAAGAUGGUUUCGGCUAU
rnacentral:rRNA from 1 species